AGUGAACGCUGGCGGCGUGCUUAACACAUGCAAGUCGCGCGGGAUUCUGCAGAGUAUCGCAGAGUUUAGCGGCAAACGGGUGAGUAACACGUAGGAAACCUCCCUCAGAAUGGGGAAUAUCUCCGAGAAAUCGGAGUCAAUACCGCAUAAGACCACAGCUUGGCAUCAAGCAGAGGUCAAAGCAGCAAUGUGUUUUGAGAUGGUCCUGCGUCCUAUCAGCUUGUUGGUGAGGAAACGGCUUACCAAGGCUAUGACGGGUAUCCGGCCUGAAAGGGUGAACGGACACACUGGAACUGAGACACGGUCCGGACUCCUACGGGAGGCAGCAGUGGGGAAUUUUGGACAAUGGGGGAAACCCUGAUCCAGCGACGCCGCGUGGAGGACGAAGGCUUUCGGGUUGUAAACUCCUUUUAGAGGGGAAGAAAUAAAUGACGGUACCCUCAGAAAAAGCCACGGCUAACUACGUGCCAGCAGCCGCGGUAAUACGUAGGUGGCGAGCGUUACUCGGAAUUACUAGGCGUAAAGCGUAUGCAGGCGGUCGUAUAAGUCUUUAGUAAAAUUUCCCGGCUCAACCGGGAAAAGCCUAAGGACACUGUUCGGCUUGAGUGUGGGAGAGGGAGAUGGAAUUCCUGGUGUAGCGGUGAAAUGCGUAGAUAUCAGGAGGAACACCGAUGGCGAAAGCAAUCUCCUGGACCAAUACUGACGCUGAUAUACGAAAGCUAGGGUAGCAAACAGGAUUAGAUACCCUGGUAGUCCUAGCUGUAAACGAUGUUCACUAGAUGUGGGGGGUAUCGACCCCUUCCGCGUCAACGCUAACGCAUUAAGUGAACCGCCUGGGGAGUACGGCCGCAAGGUUGAAACUCAAAGGAAUUGACGGGGGCCCGCACAAGCGGUGGAGUAUGUGGUUUAAUUCGACGCAACACGAAAAACCUUACCUGGGCUUGAACUGCUGAUGGUAAAAACCGGAAACGGCAAUGACCCGCAAGGGAGUCAGUAGAGGUGCUGCAUGGCUGUCGUCAGCUCGUGUCGUGAGAUGUUGGGUUAAGUCCCGCAACGAGCGCAACCCUUAUCCCAUGUUACCGGUAGCAAUACGGGGUCUCUGAGGAAACUGCCAUUGAUAAAAUGGAGGAAGGUGGGGACGACGUCAAGUCAUCAUGGCCUUUAUGUCCAGGGCUACACACGUACUACAAUGGCCGGUACAGAGGGUAGCAAUAUCGUAAGGUGGAGCAAAUCCCUGAAAGCCGGCCCCAGUUCAGAUUGUGGGCUGCAAUUCGCCCACAUGAAGUAGGAAUCGCUAGUAAUCGCAGAUCAGCAGGCUGCGGUGAAUACGUUCCCGGGCCUUGUACACACCGCCCGUCACACCACGAAAGUCAGCCAUAACAGAAGUCGUUGGGCUAACCGCAAGGAGGCAGGCGCCUAAGUUAUGGUUGGUGAUUGGGGUG
rnacentral:rRNA from 1 species